GACGAACGCUGGCGGCGUGCCUAAUACAUGCAAGUCGAACGAAACUUUCUUACACCGAAUGCUUGCAUUCACCGUAAGAAGUUGAGUGGCGGACGGGUGAGUAACACGUGGGUAACCUGCCUAAAAGAAGGGGAUAACACUUGGAAACAGGUGCUAAUACCGUAUAUCUCUAAGGAUCGCAUGAUCCUUAGAUGAAAGAUGGUUCUGCUAUCGCUUUUAGAUGGACCCGCGGCGUAUUAACUAGUUGGUGGGGUAACGGCCUACAAAGGUGAUGAUACGUAGCCGAACUGAGAGGUUGAUCGGCCACAUUGGGCCUGAGACACGGCCCAAACUCCUACGGGAGGCAGUAGUAGGGAAUCUUCCACAAUGGACGCGAGUCUGAUGGAGCAACGCCGCGUGAGUGAAGAAGGUCUUCGGAUCGUAAAACUCUGUUGUUAGAGAAGAACACGAGUGAGAGUAACUGUUCAUUCGAUGACGGUAUCUAACCAGCAAGUCACGGCUAACUACGUGCCAGCCGCCGCCGUAAAAC
rnacentral:rRNA from 1 species